AUUGAACGCUGGCGGCAGGCCUAACACAUGCAAGUCGAGCGGAUGAAGGGAGCUUGCUCCUGGAUUCAGCGGCGGACGGGUGAGUAAUGCCUAGGAAUCUGCCUGGUAGUGGGGGAUAACGUCCGGAAACGGGCGCUAAUACCGCAUACGUCCUGAGGGAGAAAGUGGGGGAUCUUCGGACCUCACGCUAUCAGAUGAGCCUAGGUCGGAUUAGCUAGUUGGUGGGGUAAAGGCCUACCAAGGCGACGAUCCGUAACUGGUCUGAGAGGAUGAUAAGUCACACUGGAACUGAGACACGGUCCAGACUCCUAAGGGAGGCAGCAGUGGGGAAUAUUGGACAGUGGGCGAAAGCAUGAUCCAGUCAUGCCGCGUGUGUGAAGAAGGUCUUCGGAUUGUAAAGCACUUUAAGUUGGGAGGAAGGGCAGUAAGUUAAUACCUUGCUGUUUUGACGUUACCAACAGAAUAAGCACCGGCUAACUUCGUG
rnacentral:rRNA from 1 species